AUCUCCCUGUCCAGGUCCCCCCUCUCUUCCUGGCACCUCCAUCACCUCACCCAGAAGAGCCAGAGAUUCAGGCAUGAAGGGAAAAAUCCCCCCCCAUGGGAUACAGAAAGAGCAAAGGACUCCAGAUGGCCUGCAAAUCCAGUUCAGAUGAAAAGGGCCAUUCAGCGAGCCAAGAGGACUAAAAUAAACCAGCUCUGGAAUAUUCAAGUUCAAGAAUCUUUUUGGGAUAAGCCCAGCAGAGGAAGUCAUCUUACUUCUAGUCAACUUACAUUUCCCAAUGAUCGUCUCAUCAUAUCCACAAACGUUCUUUAUGUUAAAGCAAGAGGUCAACAUUAUGUUUAUUGGACUAUUUUGUAAACUGGGCCAGACCUUUACAACUACCUUUUGAUCAUUUUAAGUUCAAGGACUUUCCCCACUAUCCCAUCAAAUGAGUGACUGGUGA